rnacentral:lncRNA from 1 species
CUGCGGUGGAACCCGGAACAAUUCCUGCUGUCUGCCGGAACGCCCGGGGCCUCCUGGGGAGGGCCUGCUGUGUCACUCUGCAGCCUGUGCGCCCUCCCUACACCAGAGCUCAGGUGUGUGCUUUGAGGAGGCGCAGCUCUCCUUCCCCCAGGAUGCUGGCCGUGGGCUGGCCCACGCUUGGCAGUUCUGGGCACUGGAGGGGCAUAGAGGAAGGAGCACAGACCAGGAAUUUCAGUCCUGUGAUCCAGGGCUUCGGUUCUCGGAGUCCGUGUGGUUCGGUGAUUCCACAACUCCUUUCCCAUCCCUCUGCUCCCCCGGAAGCCUGCUUCUUAAUGUCCACCAAACGUCAUGACUAAGGGCCCAGGCUAGAAUCAGACUGCCUGUAUUCCAAAUCCUGCCUGUGUGACCGUGACCGAGUUACUCAGCCGUUCUCAGCCGCAGUUCCUGCAGCUGUGCAUCGGGGUUUCUGCUAGUCGCACCUGGCUUCCAGGGUCGUCAGGAUGAAUGAGGAUGACCCACAUCAAUGCUUGGCACACAGUAAGCGCACAGUAAGUGUUUCGUACUAUUCUCAGCCCCUCCACUUCUGUAUUCCUUCCUCCUUGACACCAGCCUCUGUCUGGCUUUAAAAUUCCAUGCUGUGCCUUCUGCAGAUGGACACCGCUCGCCCUUUGCGGACUAGCCUAUCAGGAACGACACUCGGAGAGCUCCGCCCUUGCCCUGUGGUCCAGGGUGUGUUUCUCCAACAGGCCACCUGUUUUCUCCCACAAACUGGACAGCUGCCUCUCAGGAUGUUGGAGCAGAAGUUCGUGUGGGGAGAAGACCUUUGAUCAGCAGCCCUUUCCUUCUCCUGCGGUGGCCUGAACUCAGAGGGUAUAACUGGGAUGGAGCCAGGCCACCGCCUUACGUGUGUGCACACAUGGGAGCAGCCUGGGCCUCCUCGCUGUGGAAGGGCCGGAGUGUCUGCUGUGAUGGGGCACACAUCUCCUUCUUGGUUGAGCAGUAAACAAGGACUGUUCGGUU